rnacentral:rRNA from 1 species
UAGGGGAAUCUUCCACAAUGGACGCAAGUCUGAUGGAGCAACGCCGCGUGAGUGAAGAAGGUUUUCGGACCGUAAAGCUCUGUUGUUGGUGAAGAAGGAUAGAGGUAGUAACUGGCCUUUAUUUGACGGUAAUCAACCAGAAAGUCACGGCUAACUACGUGCCAGCAGCCGCGGUAAUACGUAGGUGGCAAGCGUUGUCCGGAUUAUUGGGCGUAAAGCGAGCGCAGGCGGAAGAAUAAGUCUGAUGUGAAAGCCCUCGGCUUAACCGAGGAAUUGCAUCGGAAACUGUUUUCUUGAGUGCAGAAGAGGAGAGUAGAACUCCAUGUGUAGCGGUGGAAUGCGUAGAUAUAUGGAAGAAUACCAGUGGCGAAGGCGGCUCUCUGGUCUGCAACUGACGCUGAGGCUCGAAAGCAUGGGUAGCGAACAGGAUUAGAUACCCUGGUAGUCCAUGCCGUAAACGAUGAGUGCUAAGUGUUGG